UGGAAAAAACCCUCCUGGCAGUGUUGGGCCAUUUUGCUAUGGAAAGAUCCAGCAUCUGAUUUCAUCUCCCUCCUUCCGAGCUGUAGAUGGGACAUCCCAGAGGUCUCCUGCUCCAUCUCUUUAACACUUUGCCUUCCUCCCCAUCCCUGUUUCAGCCUGAGAGGUGGGAGAAAAGACACCUGGAGAAAAAAGUUGUCUUGGAAGAUGAUUCCUGCGAGGGUGGGUUUGGGCUGUGUGUGGAGAGCAGCUCUGCCAUGUGAGGAGCUGCCCCUGCUGCUGCUGGAGACAAGGCAGACGGGAUGUAAACCACCCCAAACUUUUGGUGUGGUGACAACUGCAAAUGCAACAAUAAGCGUUGAAAUGUGAAAUAAACCAGCAAAACCAAACAAGAAAAACCUCCUCCCACCUAAAACGUUGCAUUUUAGGAGGAUGCAAAAUGGGUGGCUAUGUGCUGGUCUCGAGGACAUUUCCCCCCAUCCCACCAGGAGCGGCCUUGAAGAGCUCUGAGUGCAUCAUCUCCAGAACAUCCCGACCCAGAGGUUAAUUCCAUGUGGUGCCAGGGCCAUUGAAGAAAACUCAAAUUUCCUCAAAAGGAACCUGGUUCCUCCCCCUGCAUCACAUCCAUUGGUUAUGGAAAGCAGAGGCACCAUGUGCUCCCCUGGGAUUCAGGCCAGGUCUGCACAUUUGGGGAUGAUUCCUCGUGCAGGAGGGUGAAGAAAUAAAGUGUGGAUUCAUAC